rnacentral:tRNA from 1 species
GUGUAUGUAAUUUAAAAAAAAUAUCAAGUUGUGACCCUGACAUUAGGAACUCACCUCAUACACC